UUUAUGGAGAGUUUGAUCCUGGCUCAGGAUGAACGCUGGCGGCGUGCCUAAUACAUGCAAGUCGAGCGAACAGACGAGGAGCUUGCUCCUUUGACGUUAGCGGCGGACGGGUGAGUAACACGUGGGUAACCUACCUAUAAGACUGGGAUAACUUCGGGAAACCGGAGCUAAUACCGGAUAAUAUUUCGAACCGCAUGGUUCGAUAGUGAAAGAUGGUUCUGCUAUCACUUAUAGAUGGACCUGCGCCGUAUUAGCUAGUUGGUAAGGUAACGGCUUACCAAGGCAACGAUACGUAGCCGACCUGAGAGGGUGAUCGGCCACACUGGAACUGAGACACGGUCCAGACUCCUACGGGAGGCAGCA
rnacentral:rRNA from 1 species